AGCCUUAAGUUACUUUUAAGGUAAGCCCUGCCCAGUGAAUUAUCGAUUUCAACGGCCGCAGUACUUUGACUGUGCUAAGGUAGCAAAAUCAAUUGGCUUUUAAAUGGAGUCGUGUAUGAAUGGGUUGACUGGAAAGCAUCUGUCUCUUUUUUAUUUAGUUGAAUUUCCUUAUUGGGUGAAAAUUCCCUUUUAAAGAAAAAAGACGAGAAGACCCUAAGAGUUUUUAAAAUUUAUUUAUAGGUAGGUAAGAUUUUUGUUGGGGCAACAAGAAGACAUAAAAUUCUUCUAAUUUUCUUUUACAUGCCAAUAUUGUUGAGAAUGAAAAAACUACCUUAGGGAUAACAGCAUAAUUUUUAAAAGUUUGUGACCUCGAUGUUGGACUAGGGACUUAAUGACUAGCCGUCAAAAUAGUUUGUUCUGUUCRAACAUUUACCCCUACAU
rnacentral:rRNA from 1 species